AUUGAACGCUGGCGGUAUGCUUAACAUAUGCAAGUCGAACGGCAGCACGGUAUGUAGCAAUACAUAUGGGUGGCAAGUGGCGGACGGGUGAGUAACGCGUAGGAAUCUGCCCUCAAGCGGGGGACAACCCGAGGAAACUCGGGCUAAUACCGCAUAACCUCGGAAGAGAAAAGCUGGGGUAACCUGGCACUUGAGGAGGAGCCUGCGUCUGAUUAGCUAGUUGGUAGGGUAAAGGCCUACCAAGGCGAUGAUCAGUAGCUGGUCUGAGAGGAUGACCAGCCACACGGGAACUGAGGCACGGUCCAGACUCCUACGGGAGGCAGCAGUGGGGAAUAUUGGACAAUGGGGGAAACCCUGAUCCAGCAAGACCGCGUGUGUGAAGAAGGCCUUCGGGUUGUAAAGCACUUUAGUUGGGGAGGAAGGUUAGCAGUUUAAGAGAUGGCUAAUUUGACUGUACCCAAAGAAUAAGCACCGGCUAACUCUGUGCCAGCCGCCGCAGUAA
rnacentral:rRNA from 1 species